rnacentral:tRNA from 1 species
GCGGGUAUAGGUGAAUCGGUUACACCAUUAAUUUUCCACAUUGAAAGUUACCGGUUCGAAUCCGGUUACCCGUU